GACGAACGCUGGCGGCGUGCCUAAUACAUGCAAGUCGAGCGAAGUUUUUCUGGUGCUUGCACUAGAAAAACUUAGCGGCGACCGGGUGAGUAACACGUAAAGAACCUGCCUCAUAGACUGGGACAACUAUUGGAAACGAUAGCUAAUACCGGAUAACAGUAUUUCUCGCAUGAGAGAUAUUUAAAAGUUGGUUAUGCUAACACUAUGAGAUGGCUUUGCGGUGCAUUAGCUAGUUGGUGGGGUAAAGGCCCACCAAGGCGACGAUGCAUAGCCGACCUGAGAGGGUGAUCGGCCACACUGGGACUGAGACGCGGCCCAGACUCCUACGGGAGGCAGCAGUAGGGAAUCUUCCGCAAUGGGCGAAAGCCUGACGGAGCAACGCCGCGUGAGUGAAGAAGGAUUUCGGUUCGUAAAGCUCUGUUGUUAGGGAAGAAUGGAUAUGUAGUAACUAUACAUGUAAGAGACGGUACCUAACCAGAAAGCCACGGCUAACUACGUG
rnacentral:rRNA from 1 species